rnacentral:rRNA from 1 species
CGCGUAGGCGGCUAGGCAAGUCAGAGGUGAAAGCCCUCGGCUCAACCGAGGAACUGCCUCUGAUACUGCCUGGCUUGGGUCCCGGAGAGGGUAGUGGAAUUCCCAGUGUAGCGGUGAAAUGCGUAGAUAUUGGGAGGAACACCGGUGGCGAAGGCGGCUACCUGGACGGGUACUGACGCUGAGGCACGAAAGCGUGGGGAGCAAACA